GGGCCGUUAGCUCAGAGGCAGAGCGCCGGACUUUUAAUCCGGGCGUCACAGGUUCGAUCCCUGUACGGCCCA
rnacentral:tRNA from 1 species